GUGGGGAAUCUUAGACAAUGGGGGAAACCCUGAUCUAGCCAUGCCGCGUGAGCGAUGAAGGCCUUAGGGUUGUAAAGCUCUUUCAGAUGGGAAGAUAAUGACGGUACCAUCAGAAGAAGCCCCGGCUAACUCCGUGCCAGCAGCCGCGGUAAUACGGAGGGGGCUAGCGUUGUUCGGAAUUACUGGGCGUAAAGCGCACGUAGGCGGACCAGAAAGUCAGAGGUGAAAUCCCAGGGCUCAACCUUGGAACUGCCUUUGAAACUCCUGGUCUGGAGUUCGAGAGAGGUGAGUGGAAUUCCGAGUGUAGAGGUGAAAUUCGUAGAUAUUCGGAGGAACACCAGUGGCGAAGGCGGCUCACUGGCUCGAUACUGACGCUGAGGUGCGAAAGCGUGGGGAGCAAACAGGAUUAGAAACCCCUGUAGUCC
rnacentral:rRNA from 1 species